rnacentral:rRNA from 1 species
GAUGAACGCUGGCGGCGUGCCUAAUACAUGCAGGUCGAGCGAACAGAUAAGGAGCUUGCUCCUUUGACGUUAGCGGCGGACGGGUGAGUAACACGUGGGUAACCUACCUAUAAGACUGGAAUAACUCCGGGAAACCGGGGCUAAUGCCGGAUAACAUUUAGAACCGCAUGGUUCUAAAGUGAAAGAUGGUUUUGCUAUCACUUAUAGAUGGACCCGCGCCGUAUUAGCUAGUUGGUAAGGUAACGGCUUACCAAGGCAACGAUACGUAGCCGACCUGAGAGGGUGAUCGGCCACACUGGAACUGAGACACGGUCCAGACUCCCACGGGAGGCAGCAGUAGGGAAUCUUCCGCAAUGGGCGAAAGCCUGACGGAGCAACGCCGCGUGAGUGAUGAAGGUCUUCGGAUCGUAAAACUCUGUUAUUAGGGAAGAACAAAUGUGUAAGUAACUGUGCACGUCUUGACGGUACCUAAUCAGAAAGCCACGGCUAACUACGUG